rnacentral:snoRNA from 1 species
GGGGUUUGGAUUGAUGGCAGGUCUGAUCCCAUGGGCCCCACAGUGUCCCAGGCCAAAGCACACUGUCACCCCGAAUGAUAGCCUGGCCUUUGCCUGUGGGAUUCAGGCACUAACGCGUAUUGCAUAGAG